rnacentral:rRNA from 1 species
AUGGAGAGUAACAGAGCCCCUGGACCGGAUAACAUCCCAGUUGAGUUUUACAAACACUGCUGGGAUUUUGUGAAGGGAGAUAUAAUGUGUCUUUUCAAAGCUUUCCAUGACAACACUUUAGACAUUGCGUGCCUAAACUAUGGUGUGAUCACUUUGAUUCCUAAAAUGAAUGGGGCCAAAAAAAUCCAACAAUACCGCCCCAUAUGCUUGCUUCGAUGCCCCUAUAAACUCAUCACCAAGGUACUGGAUAACAGGGUCGCUGUUUAUGCGGAUAAGCUAACCAGUCGACAUCAAAACGCUUUCAUUAAGCAUAGAAACAUAACGGAUGGGAUCCUUACACUUCAUGAGGUGUUGCAUCAUGCUCAUGUCAAGAAAAAAAUUGGGGUGGUCUUAAAGUAA